rnacentral:lncRNA from 1 species
CCCCGGUCACCACCACCAGAAACACCGCAGCCACUCCAGGCCCCGGUUCAGGCACUGCUGGUGGAGACUGGGGAUACUGGGAUGGACUGGGAUGGACUGGGAGGGACUGGGAUGGACUGGGAGGGAACUGGGAUGUACUGGGAUGGAACUGGGAUGGACUGGGAGGGACUGGGAGGGACUGGGAUGGAACUGGGAUGGACUGGGAGGGACUGGGAGGGACUGGGAUGGAACUGGGAUGGACUGGGAUACACUGGGAGGGAACUGGGAUGGACUGGGAUGGAACUGGGAGCACUGGGGGUUACUGGGAGCACCCCCCCCGCUUCCCCCAAUGACGUCAUUCAUUAAUGAGCCAUCAAUCAUUAAUUAAUCAAUUAAUUAAUGGCACUUUAUUAGUAAUUACAGGCCCCGCCCCCUCCUGGGCGUGGUCACUGUAGGGGGGGUCAAGGGGUCAGCGGUGGUCAGUGUCCCCAGGGAGGGGUCAGUGUCCCCAAGGAAGGGUGUCCCCAGGGGUGGCCACUCACUGGUCACUCAUUGGUCACUCAGUGGUCACUCAGUGGUCACUGUCACAGAGGGGUGUCCAUGUGUCGGUCACUCAUUGGUCACUCAUUGGUCACUCAGUGGUCAAUGUCACAGAGGGUGUGUCCAUGGCUUGGUCAGUUGGUCACUCGUUGGUCACUCAUCAGUCAGUGUCACAGAGAGGUGUCCAUGUGUCGGUCACUCAUUGGUCACUCAUUGGUCACUCAUUGGUCAGUGUCACAGAGGGGUGUCCAUGUGUCGGUCACUCAUUGGUCACUCAUUGGUCACUCAGUGGUCAGUGUCACAGAGGGGUGUCCAUGGCUUAGUCAGUUGGUCACUCAUUGGUCACUCAUUGGUCACUCAUUGGUCACUCAUUGGUCAGUAUCACAGGGGGGUGUCCAUGUGUUGGUCACUCAUUGGUCACUCAGUGGUCACUCAUUGGUCAGUGUCACAGGGGGGUGUCCAUGUGUUGGUCACUCAUUGGUCACUCAUUAGUCACUCAUUGGUCAGUGUUACAGAGGGGUGUCCAUGUGUCGGUCACUCAUUGGUCACUCAUUGGUCACUCAUUGGUCACUCAUUGGUCAGUGUCACAGAGGGGUGUCCAUGUGUCAGUCACUCAUUGGUCACUCAGCGGUCACUUCUCCCCCUCCGUCCACUGCAGACACCACUCCAUGGCGUUCUGGAACAUUCUGAGCCAGGGUUCAUCUCCAACCUUGCUGCGGCCGGCCGCGGCCGCGCUCCAGCCAGCCCAGGGGCACUGCCAGGCGCGCACUGACCGCUCGGGGUGCGGCAUGGCCGCCAGGUGCCAGGCCGCAGGGGGACACCAGCGCGGCCACGCCCUGGCCGGAGCCAUUGGGGUUCAUGGGGUAGCGCUCGGUGGGGACGCCGCGGUCAUCGACGUAGCGCAGCGCGGCCAGGCCGGACUGGACACUGCGCGCCAGCAGCGAGGGCUGGCGGAACUGGAACCGGCCUGGGAGAGCAGGGACAGAGCGGUCAGGGACUGGUGGGACUGGUUAGACUGGUUAGAACAGUUACUGACUGGUCAUAGACUGAUGAGACUGGUUAGACUGGGGACACUGACCACCACUGACCACUGAGUGACCACUGAGUGACCACCCCUGGGGACACUGACCCUUCCUUGGGGACACUGACCACCACUGACCAAUGAGUGACCACCCCCUGGGGACACUGACCCCUCCUUGUGGACACUGACCCUUCCUUGGGGACAUUGACCACCACAGACCCCUUGACCCCCCCACUGACCAAGUGGCCACCCCCAGAAGGGGGCGGGGCCUGUAAUUACUAAUAAAGUGCCGUUAAUUAAUUGAUUAAUUAAUGACUGAUGGCUCAUUAAUGAAUGACGUCAUUGGGGGAAGCAGGGGGAGUGCUCCCAGUAACCCCCAGUGCUCCCAGUAACCAAUCCCAGUCCCUCCCAGUUCAUCUCAGUCCCUCCCAGUCCAUCCCAGUUCCACCCUGGUCCCUCCUGGUCCCUCCCAGUUCAUCCCAGUCCCUCCCAGUCCCAUCCCAAUAACCAAUCCCAGUCCAUCCCAGUCCAUCCCAGUAUCCCCAGUCUCCACCAGCACUGCCUGAACCGGGGCCUGGAGCGGCUGCGGCGCCUUCUGGUGGUGGUGACCGGGGAGCAGGUGGGGACAUGACCCAACUAUCGUGAUAGGGGCUGGAAUAUUGUGAUAGGGGCUGGGAUAUCACAAUAGGGGCUGGGAUAUUGUGAUAGGAACUGGAAUUUGUGACAGAGACUGGGAUAUCGCAGUAGGGGCUGGAAUAUUGCGAUAGGGGAUGGGAUAUCGCGAUAGGGGAUGGGAUAUCAUAAUAGGGGCCAGGAUAUCAUAACAGAGGCUGGGAUAUUGUGAUAGGGGCCCAGAUAUCUUGAUAGGGGUCAGGAUAUCACGAUAGGGGCUGAGGUAUCAUGAUAGGGGCUGGGAUAUUGCAAUAGGGGUCAGGAUGUCACGAUAGGGCUGGGAUAUCAUGAUAGGGGACUGGAUACUGCGAUAGGUGCUGGAAUAUCAUGAUAGGGGCCAGGAUAUUGCAAUAGGGGUCUGGAUACCAUGAUAGGAGCUGGGAUUUUACAACAGGGGACCUAAUAUUGUGAUAGGGUGGCAGUGACAAUCUGAUAUCACGAUAGGGGCUGGGGUAUCACAAUAGGGGACUGGAUACUGUGAUAGGGGCUGGAAUAUCAUGAUAGGGGGUGGGAUAUCACAAUAGGGGCUGGGAUAUCACGAUAGGGGCCAGGAUUUUGCAAUAGGGGCCUGGUUAUCAUAGUAGGGGCUUGGAUAUUGUGAUAGGGACAUCGUGACAGGGGCCAGGAUAUCAUGAUAGGGGCCCAGAUAUAGCAAGAUAGGGACUGGGAUAUCGUAACAGGGACUAGGAUAUCAUGAUAGGGGCCGGGAUAUCACAAUAGAGAACCGGAUAUUGUGAGAGGGGCCAGGAUAUUGCAAUAGGGGCCCAGACAUCACAAUAGGGGGCCUGGAUAUCACGAUAGAGGCUGGGAUAUAGUGAUAGGGGACUGGAUAUUGUGAGAGGGGCUGGAAUAUAACGAUAGGGGCCUGGAUAUCAUGACAGGGGACUGGAUAUCGCCAUAGGAGGCUGGGAUAUCAUGAUAGGGACUGGGAUAUUGUGAUAGCGCCCGGGAUAUCACAAUAGGGGCUGGGAUAUUGCAGUAAGGGUUCAGAUAUUGCAAUAGGGGCCCCGAUAUUGUGAUAGGGGCUGAGAUAUCAUGAUAGCAGCCCGGGUAUCGUGAUAAGGGCUGGGAUAUGACAUAGGGGACCUGAUAUUGUGAUAUCCCGGUCCCUAUCACAAUAUCCUGGACCCCUAUCGUGAUAUCCCAGCCCCCAUCACAAUAUCCCAGUCGCUAUCACGAUAUCCAGGCCCCUAUCAUGAUAUCCCAGCCCCUCUCACAAUAUCCUGGCCCCUAUCACAAUAUCCCAGCCCCUAUCGUGAUACCCCAGCCCCUCUCACAAUAUCCUGGCCCCUAUCACAAUAUCCCAGCCCCUAUCGUGAUACCUCAGCCCCUAUCAUGAUAUCCAGGACCCUAUCACGAUAUCCCAGCCACUAUCACGAUAUCCAGGCCCCUAUUGUGAUAUCCAGGGCCUCUAUCAAGACUAUCCUAGCUCCUAUCAUGAUACCCCAGCCCCUAUUGUGAUAUCCAGGACCCUAUUGUGAUACCCCAGUCCCUAUCAUGAUAUCCAGGCCCCUAUCGCAGUAUUCAGGCCCCUAUCAUGCAUACCCCAGCCCCUAUCGCGAUAUCCAGGCCCCUAUCGCAAUAUUCAGGCCCCUAUCGCGAUACCCCAGCCCCUAUCGCGAUAUCCAAUGGCCCCUCGGUUCUGUGGGAGCCCAGGACAUCUCUGUGGCUGCCCUGGACAGUUCGAGAUCCCUGGCAGGGGGCUCAGGAGCCCUGGCACAGAACCCAAAAAUCCUGGGAAAAAAAUUUCCACCUUUGGAUGGAGAGUCACAAAAAAUAAGUAGAAUAUAAGUUAAUUUAUCAUGAGGUGAAAAAAAAAGAUUUUUAAGAUUUUUAGAAUAGGGAUCCAGGAUCAAGAUGGAGGAAUUUGGGCGUGUUCUGUCCUUCUUCCUCCUUCUUCCUGGCAUCCAUCUUCUGGGUGAUGUUGGCAAUUUUGGAUUGGUUUAGGGUAGAACCAGACUGUACAAUAUAAGUGAUAGGUGUUGGAAGAUAACUGUAAAUAAUGUUUAUGUAGUUUAUAGUAUAAAAAGAUAAAAGUGUGCCUUGGACUGACCUGCUGAAUGGAUCACAGGGGUCAGGGAAAGAACUUCUUAGAUAAGAUAAAAUAAAGAACCUCUGGGAACUACAGAACUACAGACUCCUUCUUUGGUGCUCAGGCUGAAACAGAAAUUUUAAAAUAUACACGUGGUCGUCUCGAGCUCCUGAGACUCCACCGACAAUACUGAACCUGAAAAUUUUUGAAAUUGGACCAUAGGUAAUUAGAAAAACUGGCCAACAACAAUAUUGUUCAAUUUGGCAUAGUUUUUCAAACUAGACAAGAUUGUCAAUAAUUCUUUUAAGUAAUGAAUAAUAAUGAAUAAUAACCAGUGUUGUGGGAAUAGGAUUGGGAAUUUUGAAUAGCAUUGAUUCAGAAAUACUGAUGGAUAAAUUGGCUAUAACAUUUCCUUAGCUCUUAGUUGUUUCCAGGCUCAAUUGUGGAUGCAAUCAGUUGUUGCCUCUAUUGUAAGAGAAGGCGAGGAAGGCACUUUUCCUGAAAUUUGGAGAAUAAUCUGGGAUAGUGACUCUAACUUUGAAAAAGAAUUCCAGUCCUGGUGGAAUCUGCUAAAUUUUACCUAGGACCCCAGCACAAACACAGCCACAGCCUUUGCACUGACAAUACACAAUGCUUCAGUGAAUUCAAUAUUCCCUAUCAUUGCUUUAGGGCUGAAUCACGAUGGAGCUGUUCUCUAUCCUUUGAGCAUAGAGAAUGGGCCUGUCAAAUUGGUGGGAAGUGGCAAACUGUUAAUUUGGAAACUUGCAUUGUCCAGGAACAACGAAAGUUUAUCUGUGAAAGUAACGCAAUCAAAGCUCAAGAUAUUUGCUUAGACACAGAACAGAAUGAUUGCAACUUUGAAAAUCAUCCAAACGAAAUUCCUGAAACAGUACUGGUAUAUAUAUUUAGGCAACGGGUAUGCAUGCAUAAGAACUGCUUGUAAUAGUUUGAGGUUUUGGGGUUUUUUUGUAUUGUUUUUAAUUUUUUCUUUUUUUCUAGAAGAUUUCGUAGCGAGUACAGAAAAUUAUUCAAAUCUUUGUGUCUGUAACUUUACUAAAAUUGCAAGAUGUGCUUUUCCUUUUGCAGAACCGGUUACUUUUCAUUACCUUUUAACGAUAUGACUUAAGAUAAAAUGUGAUAUUGAUUAAAAUUGCUUUAUUUUGUUUGUGCUGCAUUUUUUAAUAGUAAUUAAAAUUGAUUAUUUUUGAUUGUCUUAUAUUUUGAUUACAGUAAUUUCACGACUAUAAGGCACACCCUUUUGACUAAAAUUUUCCCUCGAACCUGGAAGUGCACCUUAUAGUCCGGUGCGCCUUAUCUGAUGUACAAAGUUGCAAAAUUUGCCAAACCGGAAGUGUGAGCUGUG